AUGUUGUAUGAAAGGAAAGAAGGUUAGCAGCACUCCCCUUGACAAGGAUGGAAGAGGCCCUUGGGCCUCAUAAUAUGCAUAUGGUUAAGGCAUUGCCACCUACUUCAUGGCAUCUAACACUGUUAA
rnacentral:ncRNA from 1 species